AUGGCGUCUGGUUCUGUUCCUCCUGGGAGGAGGGGGCUGGUGUCUUGCGCGCACAGCCUCAACUGCCGCGCCGACGAUGCGCCUCUGCCUCUUUACCCCGACCUCGAAAAGGCCAUCUACAAGCUCAUCGUCGACUUCUACGACCAGGCGUUCAACCGGCUGCCCUGCGACAGGAUUCCGGGCCUCCGCGACCUGCUCACCACCGCCGGCACCUGCUUCGGCCUCCUCGACCCCGUCUCCAACAUUAUCCUCAACACCCUUGCCCUCCUCCCCGAAGGCGCCGCUGCGGCAGCUUCCACCGCUCCACCCGCCACGAAGAAGUUCAAAAGACCAGCACACAACGCCUGGCAGUGGCACGACAUUGCAAACAGCCUCGCCGUCAUGCUCCUCCAACACGAUCUCUACUAUGAAGAGGUGGAGGCACUGGACCCUGAAUCCGACAGGACACAGGCUGCCCUCGAGUGGGCGGCCACCAUGGCCGGUCACCCUUCCCCCGGCGUUUUGACUAAGCUCAUGUCGUCCCGGCUCAAAGAGGACGACUUUCACUUUCUGGAGAAGCUACUCUUUUCAGCAGCAGAUGCCCCUCUCAAGGUUGAUGAUGUCGGAGCAAUCGACCGCGUACUGCGCGAGAUGAUGAGCCCGCCCUGUCUUGCCACCAUAAUCCAUACCAGAAAAGGGCCGAUUCUCCAUGUCCGUAAGAACCUCGACGCCGUGUGGUCAACCACCCCCUCCACUACAGAGGACACCUGCAGGAUCACCUCCACCGCCCUCUCCUUGGACGGAAAACCCAUCUCGUCGCUGCAAUGCGGACUGCCCGACAAGCUCCAACGUUGCCUGGGAAGAGCAGAUGGCCUGGAACAAUAUUUGAAGAAGACCCCGUGCAGCGGUCACGCCUGCGAUUACCUGCAAACCCUCAAGAUGCGCCUCCAAGGUAUGAUUCACAACUUCUGCAUCAAGGCGCUCAAGCUGCUUCCCACACCAUCCGGCUCACUCAUGCGCGGCUUCCUCAUGGCCGGCCACUGCUACGGCUCCAUGGACCCUGUCUCCAACAUCAUCGCCAACUCCAUCUGGUACAACAGCCACAGCUGCCCUCUCCCAGAGUCUGAACGCAGCAAGAUUGAGAAAUACAAUGACAUCCUGGACCCCCAUUCUCUGCUCCGCACACAGGUUCACUCCCUCAAGGGCCUAAUGGAGCUUGCCGCAUUCGCCGGCCCCCAGUUCUCAACAGAGGCUGGUGCUCUGGAGUUGCUCUGCGGUGCAAGAUGUGACAUCGUUGACAUGUUGCCAUCAUCGCCAGAGAUGCUUGAAAAGAAGAACCCCUUCCAUGAAGCUGCCAAGGCCGCUGGACACCCUCUACCGCUUCAGCUGGGUGAACUGCACCGGCUGCUGCUACUGAUGCCUGAUGAGCGAAGCGCGCUGCUCUCCUUGAUGACUGAGGCUCGAACUGGCCGUACUAUGUUGCGCCUCGAUGACAUGACACUUCAUAUGAGGCGCAUGUGGCUCAAAUGCUCGGCUACCAAAACUGGUGGCAUUGUGCGAGCUCCUAAACUUUUUCCAGAGUCUCGGAAGUUGGUGUCAAGCAUGAGAUCAAAGUAUGAGGAGCGGAGGAAUUGGUUCCGUUCAAAGAUUGAACAGGUGCUGAAGGAUUACACGACCCAACAUUUUUGGCUUGAGAGGACGCUAUUCUUCGCCGAGUUUUUGUUCUCGGGUGGGCCAAGGCCAGAGACCUGCUGCCCUCUACCCUAUGAGUAUGCGGGCCGUUGCUACUAUGGCGAGCAAACCGCAAGGAAAAUUGUGUAUCCUGAUGACGCCAAAUACAUUCCGCACGAUAUCGCCGCGUGGAUGACAUGCUAG
rnacentral:rRNA from 1 species